GCGGAAGAUGUAACGGGGCUAAACCAUGCACCGAAGCUGCGGCAGCGAACGUAUCACUUAAAGCGAUUCAGCGGGUUACGAUUGACGGAGCGAAGCGACGUCAAAGCGUAUACAAAGUCGAGUCGGUUUAAGGAUACGUUCGUUGGGUAGGGGAGCGUUCUGUAAGCCUGUGAAGGUGUGUCGUGAGGCAUGCUGGAGGUAUCAGAAGUGCGAAUGCUGACAUAAGUAACGAUAAAGCGGGUGAAAAGCCCGCUCGCCGGAAGACCAAGGGUUCCUGUCCAACGUUAAUCGGGGCAGGGUGAGUCGACCCCUAAGGCGAGGCCGAAAGGCGUAGUCGAUGGGAAACGGGUUAAUAUUCCCGUACUUGGUGUUACUGCGAAGGGGGGACGGAGAAGGCUAUGUUGGCCGGGCGACGGUUGUCCCGGUUUAAGCGUGUAGGUGUGUGUUCCAGGUAAAUCCGGUUCACUUUAACACUGAGGCGUGACGACGAGGCACUACGGUGCUGAAGCAACAAAUGCCCUGCUUCCAGGAAAAGCCUCUAAGCAUCAGGUAACAUCAAAUCGUACCCCAAACCGACACAGGUGGUCAGGUAGAGAAUACCAAGGCGCUUGAGAGAACUCGGGUGAAGGAACUAGGCAAAAUGGUGCCGUAACUUCGGGAGAAGGCACGCUGACACGUAGGUGAAGUGAUUUACUCAUGGAGCUGAAGUCAGUCGAAGAUACCAGCUGGCUGCAACUGUUUAUUAAAAACACAGCACUGUGCAAACACGAAAGUGGACGUAUACGGUGUGACGCCUGCCCGGUGCCGGAAGGUUAAUUGAUGGGGUCAGCGCAAGCGAAGCUCCUGAUCGAAGCCCCGGUAAACGGCGGCCGUAACUAUAACGGUCCUAAGGUAGCGAAAUUCCUUGUCGGGUAAGUUCCGACCUGCACGAAUGGCG
rnacentral:rRNA from 1 species